GACGAACGCUGGCGGCGUGCUUAACACAUGCAAGUCGAACGAUCAAGCCAGAGCUUGCUUUCUUGAGCGAGUGGCGAACGGGUGAGUAACACGUGAGGAACCUGCCCCUAACAGGGGGAUAACAGCUGGAAACGGCGGCUAAUACCGGAUAAGAGCUCCGCCCGCCUCUGGGGCGGGGGAAAAGGACUGCGGUCAGGUAUGAGCUCGCGGCGUCUCAGCUUGUUGGUGGGGUAAUGGCUGACCAAGACGUCGACGGGUAGCCGGCCUGGGAGGGUGACCUGACACACUGCGACGGAGCUACGGCACAGACCAGACUGGGACGCAGCGGUGGGGAAGAUUAUAUAACGGGCGGAAGGCUGAUGCGACAAAGCCGCGUGGGGGAGGAGGGGAUGGGGGUUGGAAAGCUAUUUCCUCUGGGAAGAAGAGAUAGUGACGGUACUUGACAAAGAAGCGCCGGCUAACUACGUG
rnacentral:rRNA from 1 species